rnacentral:rRNA from 1 species
AUUGAACGCUGGCGGCAGGCUUAACACAUGCAAGUCGAACGAGUGGCGGACGGGUGAGUAAUGCCUGGGAAACUGGCUGAUGGAGGGGGAUAACUACGGGAAACGGUAGCUAAUACCGCAUACCAUAGGAUGUGCCCACGUGGGAUUAGCUAGUUGGUGAGGUAAAGGCUCACCAAGGCGACGAUCCCUAGCUGGUCUGAGAGGAUGACCAGCCACACUGGGACUGAGACACGGCCCAGACUCCUACGGGAGGCAGCAGUGGGGAAUAUUGCGCAAUGGGCGCAAGCCUGACGCAGCAAUGCCGCGUGAGUGAAGAAGGCCUUCGGGUUGUAAAGCUCUUUCGGUAGGGAGGCGUUACCUACAGAAGAAGCACCGGCUAACUCCGUGCCAGCAGCCGCGGUAAUAC